CAUGGUCAUAUUUGACAACCUUUGGGAACCAUUCUUGGAGGACCUAAGGGCUGCCAAGUUCCUCAGUGUCCUGGGAGUUUAUGUCAGGAUGCUGAAAGAUGGGGAGCCAAAGAAUGUGUUCUUGGCAGUAGAAGAACUCCAUCAUGGCACUGCUGUCGGACGCUGUGCAGCUCUUAAUGCCGUAUUUCAGAAAGUUGGCCUCCCAGAGUGGAAGCAGAAGUAAGUCGGCUUUGGAUCCGAUGGAGCCACAGUGAUGGUCGGGAGGCGUGGGGGGGGUCUCUACUCUACUCCGGGAAGAAGUCCCCCACCUCAUUAACAUCCAGUGCUUUGCCCAUGGACUAGAACUGGCAGCCAUGGAUGCCAUAAAUGGGGAUGAGAGAAUGAAGAAGUGACUGAGUUCCUCAAAGGCCUCUACAAACAAUACCACUAUUCGCCCAAACCCUGGAGAGAGAGCUCAAAGCGCUAAGUGGGGUCCUCCAGCAGAAGAUCUGGAAGCCGACCAAUCUGGGGGGAACAAGGUGGCUCCCAAAUGUGGAGAGAGCUCUUCAGACCCUCAUGAAGGACUACACUGUGUUGUUGGCACAUAUGGAGUACAC